AUACGGAGGAUGCAAGCGUUAUCCGGAUUUAUUGGGUUUAAAGGGUGCGUAGGCGGUUUGCUAAGCGGGAGGUGAAAUGCCGGCGCUCAACGUCGGAAGUGCCUCCCGAACUGGUGGACUUGAAUGACUCUGCCGUGGGAGGAAUGUGUAGUGUAGCGGUGAAAUGCUUAGAGAUUACACAGAACACCGAUUGCGAAGGCAUCUCACGAAGGGCUGAUUGACGCUGAGGCACGAAAGCGUGGGGAUCAAACAGGAUUAGAUACCCUGGUAGUCCACGCAGUAAACGAUGAUGGCUAACCGCUGGGCUUAUCAGUUCAGUGGCCAAGCGAAAGCGAUAAGCCAUCCACCUGGGGAGUACGACCGCAAGGUUGAAACUCAAAGGAAUUGACGGGG
rnacentral:rRNA from 1 species